UACGUAGGGUGCAAGCGUUAUCCGGAAUUAUUGGGCGUAAAGAGCUCGUAGGCGGUUUGUCGCGUCUGCCGUGAAAACUGGAGGCUCAACCUCCAGCCUGCGGUGGGUACGGGCAAACUAGAGUGCGGUAGGGGAGAUUGGAAUUCCUGGUGGAGCGGUGAAAUGCGCAGAUAUCAGGAGGAACACCCGUAGCGAAGGCGGCACUCUGGGCCGAUACUGACACUGAGGAGCGAAAGCGUGGGGAGCGAACAGG
rnacentral:rRNA from 1 species